CACAAAAAAGCAAGUUUUCCUGUACCUUUCGCAUAAUGGAGUUACAAGUUUAAUACAUAUAGAACCAACCCGAAUCAAACACGAGCUGAAUCUCUCCUGUUAAGCACCAACAUUAUAAUGUUGCAAUAUUAUAGUAAGAGAGAGCUACAGAGGCUACAUACCCACGCGCUUUGAGAUAGCUGGUUUCAUGAUAACCAAUUUAAGUUGGAAUAGUGGCUCACUAUAAAGUUAAUGAAGGCUAAGCUUCAAUAACCAGUACUAUAUUAAUAAUGUUAAAAAUUUAAGUAGGCCUACCAUCAGCCACCUCUAACCACGUCAAAGUUUAUAUAAUUAACCACCUUAAUUUUAUUAAUAUGAAAAACAUAAAUGAAAUAUACAAACCAAUAUGUAUAACCUAUCAUGUAAUUACAAGUAUUUGCUAACCCAAUUAAUAUAUAGUAAAAAUAUUAAAUCUAAUCACAAACACACCACACACAGUUAAGGAACUCGGCAAACUCUUUUUUCGCCUGUUUACCAAAAACACCGCCUGCUGAAUAUAUAGCAGGUCCAUCCUGCCCAGUGGGAUUCUCUCAACGGCCGCGGUACUCUGACCGUGCAAAGGUAGCAUAAUCAUUUGCCCUUUAAUUGGGGGCUAGUAUGAAUGGACACACGAAAAAAUUCUGUCUCAACUGUGCGCAAUAAAAACUGAAGCUCAGGUGAAGAUGCCUGAAUAAUAUUAUAGGACAAAAAGACCCUAUAGAGCUUUAUUAGUUGCAGAACUAAUUUAAUUAUAUUAAAACACUAAUAUCUGCCACUAAUUUGAUUGGGAUGAUCAGAGACCACAUAAACCGUCUCUAAUAAUCAUGGGGCACCCCCUAAUCUAUAUCACAAGAAAAUAGAACAUAGCUACCUUAGGGAUAACAGGCUAAUCCCGCUAGAGAGAUCACAUUGACAGCGGGGGUUGGCACCUCGAUGUUGGCUUAGUGUAUCAAUUAGGCGCAGAAGCCUAAAUAUGUUGGUUUGUUCAACCAUUAAAACACUACAUGAGCUGAGUUCAGACCGGCGUAAGCCAGGUUAGUUUCUAUCCAUAAUAUAAAAGUGUUCCAUAGUACGAAAGGACCUGGCAACACAAAUAAUAUUUACUAAGCUGAACAAAUAUAAUAUAAUUUAAAAUAUAUAAUAAUAAUAGGUUGGCAGAGAUAUGCACUUGACUUAGGAUCAACC
rnacentral:rRNA from 1 species